UCAAAUUUUGGCUAGUAAGUACGGACAGUACAGGUAUUGGAACACGGCGGGGCGGGACUCUGCCCAAGUUUUCCCGCUUCUUCUCAGUUUGGGGCCGAAUCAACUGAACAAUAGAAUCUCGGAUCUCCAUUUUUGUGCCAUUCAAUUGCAUGUGACGAUUGAUCUGGACUCAAGCUGUAGGCCUACCAGUCAGAUGAGUAACUCAGUGGAGGAGGAGGACUUUGCGGAUAUCAGGGCCUACUUUUCCACAACAAAAUGGAACCGCCUCUGUAUGGCAGAGAAAAAAAGAUUCCUGCAGAUCAAGGAAAACCAUUUGGUUCUGUCGUCUCUUGGCCUGUCCUUUGUGGCUCCAGCCUUCAUGAGGAGAGAGAAGCCCGGCCAGGUGAGAGUCUGCUCACCUGAAGAGACAGACUCUGAGGAGGUGCAGCUCUGGACCUCUGGAUUGACCGGUGCUCGAGUGUGGAAGCCACCAACAGUCAGACAGGGGUCUCUACAACAGCCCAGUACGUCAGAUGCAGUUUCGGUACAGAGUCUCUCAGGGCGGGGCUGGAGUGACCAGGAGGUCUCUGGAGGGACCACUCCUUCUCAUCCAGAGAUCAACCCCCCCGGAGGAGGAGUAGAGAGGGGCUCUGCAGUCCAGGAGGAGGUCUCCUUGGGUUAGCUCUGAUCCCACCACUGCUUCCCUGCAAUAACACCUUUUUGUGCGCGUAUGUGUGUGUGUGUGUGUGUGUGUGUGUGUGUGUGUGU
ensembl:lncRNA